ACUCGGCACAUUCUACGGGGGUGGAUACGUGACACAGGCUCUCACAGGUUAUAGUCAAAGAAAAAGGGUCUAACUGGUCCUACAAUAAAAACUCACGUGCUCUUGGCACAAACCGAUGCAAAAAUAGCAAACCAGGUCCACUGUCAACCGCGACGGCAUCCGACAAUCCGGAACAGUCUACACACUACUGUAAAAUAAACUCGGCAUCUCAGUACGAGCGUAAAUUCAUUCUACAAUAUUCUGGAUAUCCACUUCAUGCAAACUGCGGCGAUACAAACAAACUACAGCUCCUAAAGUUAAAUAU
rnacentral:lncRNA from 1 species